UCAGAGCAACCAGGUCUUAGAACCCCAGGAUUAUUUUCAAGAAAUAGGAAUUAUAUUUUAGAAUAUUAAAUAUUAUAAGAUAAUAUAUCAAUGUUCGACAUUAUAACUAUCCUAUUCGUUUGAUUCUGAUGAUAGGAUCAGAAAAACGUUUCUUCCAUUUAUUUAUUGCCUUUCAGUUAACUUUUUUGCACAAAUAUGGAACGAACUUUAAGUUUCAAAGCAGAACCAAUUGAUCAAGAGGAAAUAGAGGAAAUCUUACCAGAUUUACCAGAACCAUCAAUUCAUGUGAAAUCAGACUGUUUUGAGAUAAAACCACAAUAAAUCAAAAUAAACAACUCCAGUAUUUUUCUCAAUAAGACUUUAAUCAAUUUAAAUGGUAUUCUUUAUUUUCUUGAAAGAAUUCCAGAAACUGUGGUACAAAAAUCGCAAACCAAACAUUUUGUAUCUCAAGUUAAGAAGAAAAAAUUGGACAAAUCAGAACCAUGUCCAAAGUGUGGAAAAAUAUUGAAACGACGUAGUUUAAAACUUCACAUGCAAACAUGUUACUAUGGUUUUACUUACGAUUGCAGCCUGAAAUGUAGCAAAUGUAAUUAUCAAACUAUGAGUGGACAUUAUUGGUUACUACAUAAGAGACAAUGUGGGAAAACAAAACCAAAACCAAUUAAAACAAAAUGCAAUGGUGAAAAAAGUAAUCAUUAUAUGACAGAUAUUAUGUGAAUGGCAUGGCAUGGCAUGUUGAAAAUAAUAAAAAACUAUAGGACUUGUGAUUGAAAGUUUUAAACUUAUAAUUGUAGUUUAUAAAGAGUACUUUAAGAUAAAAAAAAUUUCGUGACGAUAUCUGUAUUAUUAGAAGAAAUUUUACAGUGUGAUUAAAAAAAAAUUAAAAUGCGAUCAUUAUUAAUUCCGGUUGGUCCUCUGCGUAAAAAAUGUGUACAUUUAUUAAUUUCAUAUAACAUUUUAGGCUACACACAGUCGAUUACUCAUCACUGUGAAAUUUGCAAUAUUGAUUUUAAAUUAGACAACGCUGAUGUUAGUGUAAAAAAAUCCUGUAUUAAUUGCUCGUCUACUUUGACAUAUAAAUGCAAGAAAUGUGGUGAACUUUGUUUAUUUUACGAAUCAUUAGUAAUUCAUGUGAAGACCAUUUGCAAUCAAGAAAAAUAUUUUAAAUGUUUUCAAUGUGAUUUGGUGACGUAUUCUAUGAGCCAAUUAAAUGAACAUAAUAAAACACUUCAUAGUGAUAUAUCUGCAAUGUGUAAAAAUUGUGAAUCAUUUUUUAAGAGUUCAAUACAUCUGAAAAAACAUGAAAAGCAAUGUAGUUCAGUUUAUAAAUCACUACAGAAUGAUAUGUGCCCUUACCCAAAUCAUAAUACUUCAGCUGUAGUUCAUCAAUUUUCAAGUAGGUGUUGUUGAAACAUAUCAGCUACUUCCAGGUUUAAUAAAUUUAAAAAUAAAAACUAUUUUAUAAAAUUUUGGGAUCAUUGUAUUAUGAAAAAGGCACUAUCAAGGAAAGUAAUAAUUAUAAAUUUCAUGAAGACACAAGCUCAAUUUACAAUGCAAAGUUGUUCUCACGAAACUAGAUAUAAAAUAUUUUUGAGACUACUUUAGAAGAGAUGCAUUUAGUACAACUAGUAAUAUUAUUAAAUUGUAAACUAUUUGUUAUUAUUAAUUUACAAAAUAAUUCUAAAAACACUUCAUCUUAUUAUAAUUAAAUAAAUUUUUAGAAUUAAUUGGUAAAGUUAACUUUAUUCUGUAUUUGUUUAUUAUUUCGAUCUUUAUAGAAACCACCUA